ensembl:lncRNA
CAGGUGGGGGCCGCAGCGCCCGGCAGGCUGAGGGGUGAUUAUUCCUCAUUUAGCUGUACGCGGCGAAACACCCCAAAGAUUCCGGCAUUAGCGGGCACUAUAAAUCUCUAGGACGCCGCAGCUGCGACUGGAUUAUUUAUAGCUCCGCUUUUACAUUACCGAGUCCAAAACAUCACACAAAGAGGAAGGUAAUGAAAUCUCCACCUCUCCAGCCGUCGAUCUCUAAUCUAAAGCGGCAUUUCCAGGAGCCAUUUUCACUCGGCCCGGGAGUCGAGGAACAAACACGUUCGCACCCUCCCACCGGCUGGCAGGCAGCCCCGCAGCUGGCACGCACGGACACACGCACACACGCACACACGCACACACGCACUCCGGUCCCCCCGUUCCUCACUGAGAGAUACAAAAACUCUCGUGCAUUUGCAGCUUAGCACGGGCAAACAUCCGCAUCUCUGCCCUUUCGGCCCCACAAAUACACAACCGCGAACACAUUCUGGGUUAAAUUCUGAUUUCACUUACGGUAUGCAAAUAUAAGAGCCGAAUACUUCCAUUAAGAUAACAGAUUUACAACUGUGUAACUGAGAUCAGAAUAUGGUGCUGACUCUCUCAUACAUAAAUUUCCAUAGCUGCUCCCGAAUUUGUCUCUUUCCUCAGCCGCCUCGCCACGCGUUAAUCAUUCAGCAUUUAAAUCAGCCUUCCACUUGCUUCGUUUUGCUUUGUCAAUGAAAAUUGUUCAGCAUUAAUUAUAAAACUCAAUCUCUACUGAGGUUUUCUUGGCUUUUUUUUUUUUCAUUAGUGGGUGGAAGUGUGGAUUUGCAGUCUUCUGGUUCUGCCUUCAGAAAUACCCCGUGUGCCAUCCAUGCUGCAGAACACGUUCUGCCUGAGGGUGCCCGCGAAGCUCAGCUUUCAGCCACUUUCCGAACCUAAAGAUUUGCAUCCCAGCAUCGCAGAUGAUUUCAGGUUACAAAGUGAAGAGUUGACAACAACUGUUGAUGCGUUCUGAGUUAUGUCUCUGUGACAGCGCUCCAACACGGCUCUAGUUUUUCACAGUGGUUGAACCUCUCCAGAUUUGCUUUCGUUUUUUACAAUCAAAAGGAUUGGACAUCCCUGGUCCAGCGCGCUGAGCAAUCCUGCAGCACAAUGCUAUGCGAGUACUGCAGUGCACACGGUAUGGUAAUAAACCAGGCUGCUGCAGCCAACAGCAAAUCACAAGGCGAUAAAACACAAAGGCUGAAGGAUUGGGUUGAGCUGGGAUAUGUUUUAGUGCAUGUGCUGAAUGCGGUAAGGGAGAGGCUGACUGAAAAUACAGACUCAUUAACAGGAAAGUGACUAAGCUCAUCUUUACAGGUGUGAUUUUCACAAUUGUGAAUGUUUUACUCAAUUAUUACAAGGCAUCAACUAUAGCAGCGUGUAAAUGCUUCCCGAUCUUUUCAUUAUGCUGGGAUGCCGCAACCUAUAUUUAACCCAAGGGGAGGAAUGUGCUCCAGAAACAAUUCUCACUUAGGCAAUCAUUUCUCUUAUCAGUCACAGAGAUCUGUCAGACCACUCUCACUGCCAACCAGGGAUUACAAAGAGAGGAAAAAGGGCAACCGGGAGAAAACUGUAUCUCUGCAAAAAUACAGUAUGGAUCUGUGUCAAGAAAUGAAGGUAACCUCCAAAGUGACAGUAAGAAGAUGAACAGUGCAAACGCUUUUCACCUUCUGGGAUUCUGGCAGGAGUGUCAGGCCCUGAGUGCAGCCACGGUGCCCUCCCCUUCUGGACCUGUGGCUGUGAGGACAGCAAUAGUGCCCGUCACCCCACACAUGACACACAGAUGCCCCCCGUCCCCCAUACCCUGACAGUGCCAGGGCUGAUGGGCGCUCUGUGCGGCCGAGAUGGGUUUGUGGCUCGCACUGCUCACAGAGCUGCUGCCCUCUGCACUGGGCAGUAAUCGCCCCAAUUGCAGAGAACACCCGAAAUAAAGGGCUUUGAGAAGAGAUCAGGGAUGGAAUCAACCCGGCAUGCUAAGCCAGGGAGGAAUGGGACGCUGUAGAGCGGGAAGUGAAUACUACCCAGGCUACACACAUUCUGUGAACAACUAGAAACCUUCAAUCUCCACAGCUAUCAGGCAGCAUUUUUCACUCCUACUGGAAAAUUGGAAAAUAAGAAGUGUCUUUACUCUGUGAUGGAAUAAAAAUAAGUAGAAAUAACAGUACUUAGUCAAAUAACACAGCAUCUCUCCAAUAUAACAGAAGUUGUGCUUUAGCUAAACACUCAGAUAGCAAGUUGGGAGUGAGCCCAGGGUUUGGGUUUAUUUAUUUUGCACAGAGCUCUGCGUGUAAUGCUCUGGUGAGGUUAGCAUGCAAACAAAGAGGAAGGCUUGGUGUUAGUCAACUUGUGUUCUCUCCCAGUAAUAGAAGAGUAG